CCGACUUCAAUUGCAGGAAGACUUCGUCCGGACUCCUACGGGAGCCGGACUUCAUCCCCGACUUCGACUGCAGGAAGACUUCGUCCGGACUCCUACGGGAGUCGGACUUCAUCCACAAUUUUGGCUAUAGGGAGACUUCGUCUGGACUCCUACGGGAGCCGGACUUCAUCCCCAACUUCAAUUACAAGUAGACUUCAUCCAGA
rnacentral:lncRNA from 1 species